GACAGAGAUGCUCUACUACCUCUAGACGCUUUGCCAUGUAAUUGGCAUUCAAAAUUGCAAUCUUGGAGGCAUCAGUGAGUCCACCAGAUCCCAUCAUGGCAAUGUAAGUAUAAGAUAUUGGCAAGAUAAGCGCAGAUCCCCAUGGUGCAGCGGCUAUUGUACCCAACGGUUCUGUCUUCUCGGGUUGUGGGAAACCACCAGUAGAUAUCUUUUUACAUGGCAAUGGAGGAAACCCAACAAUAAGGAAUUUAAUGAUCAUUAACCAAGAUGCAUUACAGUGAUGAAGGAUCAAAGACUAACCACGGGGUGAGAAGGAAGAAAUGGUGCCAAAUGUUUCUUCACACCAAUGGGACCCAUACCAGGACCACCACCUCCAUGAGGAAUACAGAAGGUCUUGUGGAGAUUGAGAUGACACACAUCGGCUCCAAUAAAACCGGGACUUGUCAAGCCAACCUACACAAACCCAACACCAUGCUCUUUCAAAUAAGACAAAACCUUGAGAUCUCACCUGUGUUUACUGUUUUAUUAAGAUAUUUCACCUGUGCAUUCAUGUUGGCACCAUCCAUGUACACUUGACCUCCAAAUUCGUGUAUUAUGUUGCAAAUCUCGUCGAUACCCUCUUCAUAGACUCCAUGAGUUGAAGGGUAUGUAACCAU
rnacentral:lncRNA from 1 species